UCUCUAUAUCAUUAUGCUGAAAUCUAUCUCUUUGUUACAGGCUUUCAGAAGCUGCUGGAUCCUCUUCACUCUGGCUUGCUGAUAGUUUUAUCUUGCAGCAUUAUUCUGAACGUUGCUCUCAUUUGUAUAAGAUGUAAACUGACCUGUACACACUGUGCAGAUGAAAAGAACAGUGAUAUAUCAAAAGUGGAAUGGUCACGCAAGCAAUGCCAUGACGAGGACACACUGAAUUACGCUGCCCUGAACCUUAAGAAGCCAAAACCCAGGAGACAGAAGAAAGACGGGAAUAAUGACACUCUGUAUUCUGACCUCCGCUACAGAGAUUAUGAAUAAAGAUGCUUCUCAUUCAUGUCAGUCACACAGAGUGUUCAGGGUGUAGCUUUAAUAAUGUUCAGAGGAGGGCAGGGGAGCCAGUGCUUCUGAGACUGAAUCACGGGAUUUUACGGAGCACCGGUGCUGAGUUUGGUGUCAGUGUGUUUGGGGCGCAUUUUUACUGG